AUCCAACCUGCCUGCUUUUUUUCUGCUGUGAUAUUCUUCCUGCAUGGGUAAGACUGCAUUCCUGGUAGGAAGUGUCUUCCUCUGUUAAGUACCGGAGAUCCUUUUGACUUCCCUUUACUGAGAGUUGAAUCAUAUAACUUCCGCAUUGAAGAGAACUAGAAAGCCAUUGAAUCCACCUGCAUUUCCAACACUUAAACAUCCUUUACCAUUUUACAGCCUAUCCUUAGCUGGCUUAUAUUUGAAAAAGUCCAGUGACAAGGGACUCACUGCCUCUUAGGCAACUCUAUUUUUGGACAACUUUAACUGAUAGGAAACUUUGUAAGAUCACAAUAUGUCUUUAUGGUUUCCCAUAUGUGGCAGUUGGCCUCACUUCUGCAACAUCUGUACACCAAAAUUCCUUUACUUUUAUGAUGUGCGUGUCCUUGGAGUCCAGCUCCAGCAGGGCACACAGGACUGACUUAUGUAGGAUUUCUCCCACCAUCUCUUCCUUAGGCUAAACAUCGCUGCUUUUAUUCAGUCAUUCCUUGUGAUAUGUUCCUUCCAAUCUUGGCCUUUCUUUGGUGAAUUGUUUUAGUUCAUUUGUAUCCAUGUUAAAUAGAGAGGUGGCAAAGUACAUGGAAAAAACAUCGUCUUCACAGCUGAACUUUAUUGCUGGUGAAGGGGAAUUCUCUUUUUUCAGGUCUGUCUGUUAGGAGGAUUAAAUAAGGUCUUUCAUGUAUUCAUUCAUUCACUUGAUAUUUGUUGUGCUAGGUGAUGGGGAUGGAUGGUGUAUUACACGGACAGGAGUGCUGCCCUCAUGGAACUUAUAUUAAACUGGAACUUAUAUUAAGCUGGGUAUUGUAAUAAAGUUUUAAAUAGGUGCUAUAAUGAGAGAAAUAUAAGGUCCUAUAAGAGCCCCAGAAAUGGGACCUUUUAUCCAGUAGGGUGGCAGUAAUUACAGAGGAGUCGUUCCCUCUAACCUGAUUUCCUCUUUUAUUUUUUUUUCUAUCCUGUUGUAUUAUUUCUUAUUAUGUAAGUUUCUCAAGUGACUUUUUGGAAUGACCUGAUAUGUAAUAAAAACUAGUCACCUGAGUGUCUGAUUGACACACUAAAUUGAACACAUCUAAAACUGUGCUCCUCUUUUCUCAAAAGUCAUGAUUCCCCCCCGUUGAUCACCUUAGAAAGUGUUACAAUCACCUUAGAAAGUGUUACAAUCAAAGAACUGAAUUUCAUCACCCGCCGAAAUCCCUGUAUCCAAUGAGUCACCAAGUCCUGCAUAUUCUUUCUUAGUAAUUCUUGUGAAUUUUUCUCUCAUAAAUAACUAAUAAAUUUGGGUCCACUAGGAGGAUUUGAGAAGAAACCCUACAGUCUGGAAGGCAGAACAGAGAGAAGUUGAACACUGCACUUUUCUCCUGGGCAAAAUGGAGCUAAUCAUACUACCUAGCAUGCAGGUUUGUUGUGAGUUAAAUGGGUGGGUACAUGUAAAAGGCUCAGAAUUGUGCCAGGCAUGUGAGAGCUUAACUUUCACUGUUGUUUUGUUAUGGUCACUUGAUCCCUAAAUUCAGUCAAUCCCGAAACCAGGUUUACCAUGGACGUUUUCAUUUAUGUGAACUAAUAACUAUGCUUUUUGUUUAACCCUAGUUUUAGUUUAUCUGAUGUACUUGAUUUUCCCCUGCAGCUGAACGAUUCCUAAUAGAUACAGUCUCAUUGGCGGUGAAACCAACGUGAAGGGCGAGGGCAGCAUCUUAUCCUUGUGUCCUCAGCACUUAGUGCAGGACCUGUCACAGAGUAGGUACUGAAUAUUUGGAGAAUAAGCACAUUUAUUCCAUUGAGGUGCUAGGGACACAAGAACGAACAAGAACCUGCCCUCGAGGAGCUGGCGCACAGCUGAGCCUUGUUUGUCGUCCUUCGUUGGAGCGCUGUUGCAUCCUCCCGGGCGGACUAAGGCUUAGUAGAGACAGUACCUGGGGCCCACAAUCCUCUCUGGGCCCAUGACAAUGCUUUAGUUUUUUUAAAAUCAG
rnacentral:lncRNA from 1 species